rnacentral:rRNA from 1 species
UUGGAGGGCAAGUCUGGUGCCAGCAGCCGCGGUAAUUCCAGCUCCAAUAGCAUAUAUUAAAGUUGUUGCAGUUAAAAAGCUCGUAGUUGAAUUUCGGGAUCAGUACGCUGGUCGUGCCUUCGGUAUGCACUGGUGUCACUGAUUCCUCCCUUCUGAAGAACCGUAAUGCCAUUCAGUUGGUGUUGCGGGGAAUCAGGACUGUUACUUUGAAAAAAUUAGAGUGUUUAAAGCAGGCUUGCGCUUGAAUACAUUAGCAUGGAAUAAUGAAAUAGGACGUUUGAUCCUAUUUUGUUGGUUUCUAGGAUUGACGUAAUGAUUAAUAGGGAUAGUUGGGGGCAUUAGUAUUCAAUUGUCAGAGGUGAAAUUCUUGGAUUUAUUGAAGACUAACUACUGCGAAAGCAUUUGCCAAGGAUGUUUUCAUUAAUCAAGAACGAAAGUUAGGGGAUCGAAGACGAUCAGAUACCGUCGUAGUCUUAACCAUAAACUAUGCCGACUAGGGAUCGGAUGAUGUUAAUUUUUUAAUGACUCAUUCGGCGCCUUACGG